rnacentral:rRNA from 1 species
UCGGGAAUUUUGGGCAAUGGGGGAAACCCUGACCCAGCAACGCCGCGUGAAGGAUGAAGUAUUUCGGUAUGUAAACUUCGAAAGAAUAGGAAGAAUAAAUGACGGUACUAUUUGUAAGGUCCGGCUAACUACGUGCCAGCAGCCGCGGUAAUACGUAGGGACCAAGCGUUGUUCGGAUUUACUGGGCGUAAAGGGCGCGUAGGCGGUGUGUCAAGUCAGUUGUGAAAUCUCCGAGCUUAACUCGGAACGGUCAACUGAUACUGUCACACUAGAGUACAGAAGGGGCAAUCGGAAUUCUUGGUGUAGCGGUGAAAUGCGUAGAUAUCAAGAGGAACACCUGAGGCGAAGGCGGGUUGCUGGGCUGAUACUGACGCUGAGGCGCGAAAGCUAGGGUAGCAAACGGGAUUAGAUACCCUUGUAGUCCCUGAGCGGGCUGGCAAGGCGCAU